CGGUGUCCUGCAUUACUGUCAUGUCAGGUAAACCUUGAGUCUCUGGAAAUGAUGUUUCAUUGAUUUUUCAAUAUAUUUUAGUCAUUGUGAUUAUCAUCCGCCUGCCCUCAUUGUAUUGUCCUAGGGCAAAGUCCUAUAUCCUUACAUCCACAUCCACAGUUUCACCGCCACUGCUCCUACAAGCAACAGCAUGAGAGUGCAAUGUCCCGGCAGGAAACCACAACAUGGUUUCCCAAUUAUAGUUCUGUGUGUAUAAAGCAGAUGCGACAUGUAGAUAGUUGUCUAUUAGGUAAAGGCAUGAGAAUCUCCAGACACCUAAUUAUUUGUGAUGGCCUUUGGAUAAUUUUUUCCAGGCAUUAUAUCCAAGGUGCUUUCAUAUUAGGCCUAAGCAAAGUACCAUGAACACUGAUACAUGUCAUAAAGGCUCGAACCCAGAACAUUUACACUGUGAUUUGUAUAUCUUAACACCACCCCUAUUUAUCUACAUACCAUCUUUGAAAAAAGUUGUAGAGAGAAGAUGAUCAUAUGUGUAUCAUAUAUUUAGGUGCAUGUAAUGUCAAAUAUAGAUUGCCCCGCAUCCCAAUUUCUAUGUCUCCUGGGUGGUAUUUCUGCUAAAACGGGUGUUCAUGUACCGUUAAUCUUGGGUCAAACGAUCCUAAUAGCAGAGCUUGUGGGGGGAGAUGGCACAGAGGCCAGAAGAUAUCAUACCGAACUGACUCAUGAAAAUGAAGGGGACUUCAAUAAGAGAAUUCCUAAAGUCUAGUCUACACGUUGUCAAUCUGAAAACUUUCCAUACACUUUUCCUGGGAGCGUCGGUGUCCGGACAGGAUGCGGUGAGUUUGCGCUCGCUGUUAGCCAUGAAGCGGAGACUCCCAGACCCCCUUGUCUCCGACAUGAUCGCCCCAGACUGGAACUCUUCGGCUCGAAUCUCCACUCUCAGAGAAUCCAUCAGGAUUGUUUAUGAGAUCUCCGAAAGGCGUAACAGUGAUGACCUCACUCUGCCUCAGCCCCAGUGAAUCAUGGGAUACAGGAAGCAAGGUCUCUUAACGCCAGACACCCAGGGUCGGACCAGACGAUCAACGCCUCAAACGCUGGCCUAAGACAAACCCUGCCCAACGGCCAGACUCAUUCAAUCUAUAAUGCAUGUCUGAUACAUAAAGGUCCCUGCAGGCCAAGAACAGAGAUUCCUGCUCCAGGCUCCACAUUAAAGACACAUGACGGUGCAUCUCAGCCUUGGCGUGGGCCUUGGGUUCCCCGCCCCAGGCGACCGGCGCCCCCACCACCCCGUGGAAGCUGGACGGGCAGUAUGGCCCGAACGGCGGCUCCAGAUAGUGCCCUGCUCCCGGGUACACCACCUUCUCAAAGUUGUCCUUCCCCUGACGUCUCAGCCUCUCCGUCA